ACCACGGGAGAUGUAGUUGCUCGCGCCUCCCCCGCGCAGAGCGAAGCGAAUAACGCGAUAGUGGGCAGCCUUUCAGGCGCGUGUCGAGGGCUUGUUGCGACUCCCCGUGGAGGUGUCGUUAGAACUCUUCUGUUCUCAUCUGGCGAAAAUACCUAAGUUGCACGAGAGGCUGCAUCUCGGGCAGCGCCUUCCCCGGGGCCUGCGUGCAAUGUUCCCUCUAAGGAGUAGCGGCUGCCACACUUCAUAGCCCACUGGCCUUCUCUUCUGGAUGACCUCACGUGCAUGCGUCAUGCCCUGUUGCCCAGAAUUGACAUCAAGAGGCUCCAGGAUCCACUGGUCGAUCCCAGUCAACUGAUUGGCGACCACUGCAAUGCGCGAACAUUAGAAGGGCCAGCAUUCUAUCCCAGCAUCUAGGAUCCUUCCCUAUGAUUUUUGUGGCAGGCUUGCUGGUAACAGUCCAGCACGUAGGACUCAGAGAAGCUUGAUUGUGAUUGGUGAAGCAUUCCCACCAAUCAGGUAUCUGCUGGGGAGGGGCUUGCCCUGCCCCUACCAAGGGUGAAGUGAAGAGCUCGGACCUGGUUGAAGACUGCACUCCACCUCAUCCCAAUUGGUCCAUUUACAGUCUGGGGGCGAAGCCUCCAGAGGGAAUAAAAGAGAGGCGUACUCAGCAUAUGGGCAGCUGCGACGAGGGAUAGAGAAGAGAGCGGGCAAGGAAGAGCUGGCCAGCAGGGAGGAACAGUUGCCCUGAAGAGCCUGAAGACCUCUUUGCCAGAUGAGUGGCAAGUGACCGCCUCCCCAGCCCUGCCACUAGGAGCACGGUGUCGGUGCACAGCUCGGUGCAUGGUGCAAGACUCUGGGAGCUGCAUGAGGCAGCGUGGGUCUCCAACCCCUGACACGAGGCCAGGCACUCGGUGUAUGGCGGGUCUGGGAACAGACCAAGACCCUGGGAGCCCUCAAGGGGCUCAGGUUUCCCACCCCUGGUACAGGCAGUAGGUAGAUGGCCGGUGUACAAGCAGUCCAGGAGCGGACCGAGCCCCCCAGAGCUGCACAAGACGGCCAGGGUCUCCAACCCCGAGCAAAAGGAUAAAGCCCUUGGUGCACAUGAUGGUGCACAGGGCCCUGAGCAGGCCAGCAGCCUAGAGGGAGCCCAAGGCAGCUGGGACCUUGGCAAAAGGGGCAGCAACUUGCCCAGGGAGAUGAGGACCACCCACCAGGCCCCUGGAGGCAUGAGUUACUGGGGAAAGGGAUUCCCACAGGGGAGGGGAAAUUCACCAAGGGCCAGUGAAGCUGCCCCCCUGUAGGGAAGCCCAGGGAGGAGAAGGCUUCCUGGGUCUAGAGUUUUUUUCGCUUGAGAGCUAUUUCAGUUGGGUUGUGGAAGGGUCUGAAGGGCACUGGGGAAUCUCCUUCUUGACACUCGAGUGCAGUCACUGCUCCAGAACAGCCUGGGCUCUGGGUGUCCCUGAAAGAUGGGGGUUAGUAUUGGUUGUUCUUGCGCCUUAUAUUUUGUAUGUUAGCGCCUCAUAUUUUGUGUAUUUGUAUUUCAUGAUUGUGAGCUUAUAUUUUAGCAGAGUUUAAUUUGCCAUUAUCUUUAUUGAAACCCUUAUACUCGUUCUUUCGUAUUACUUACCUAUGUUCUGAGUGGUGGUAAAGAAUUAUAUGUGUAUAUAUAUUGCAUAUAGUUCAUGUUGUAUAUAUCUGUUUAUAUUUAUACUAUUUCUGUUAGGGUUUAUGGUAUCAAUACAUUUGUACAUCGUUAAGUUACUGGAGUGUCUUGGUUAGCUCUAUAGGGGAAGGAGGGAAACUGUGCUCAGCCUGCAGUUUCUACCCACAGCACACCUGCCCUGCUAACAAUCCCCUUCAAUUGGAGAAGGGAGUACAUACCCGAGUAUACCCAGGCUACAUUUUCUUUAUCAUUGCUUUCAAGGUUCCAUUGCACCGCUCUACUAAUCCAUCCAUUUGAGGGUGAUAAAUGGAGAUCUGCAGCCUCUUAAUGUGCAGUAUUUUGCAGACUUCGCAGUACAUGAAAUGAAAUCUAUGAGAGCCCAUAAACUCAGUUGCCUACAUGAAAUUAAUUUUCCCUCCAUUAUUUCAAAGCUGAAAAAAAUGUUACAGUCGGAACAAAAUUUGAAUUUAUACUGACCUACCUGGAUAGCAGAUGUAUAACAGCCAAAAUAAUUUCCUAUUUCAGACACUAACAAGAUGGAUACUU